rnacentral:rRNA from 1 species
AGCAGCCGCGGUAAUUCCAGCUCCAAUAGCGUAUAUUAAAGUUGUUGCAGUUAAAAAGCUCGUAGUUGAAUUUCGGGAUCAAUACGUCGGUCGUGCUUCGGUACGUACUGGCGCCAUUGAUUUCUCCCUUCUGACGAACCAUGAUGUCAUUAACUUGGUGUCAUGGGAAAUCAGGACUGUUACUUUGAAAAAUUAGAGUGUUUAAAGCAGGCUCACGCUUGAAUACAUUAGCAUGGAAUAAUGAAAUAGGACGUUCGAUCCUAUUUUGUUGGUUUUAGGAUCAACGUAAUGAUUAAUAGGGAUAGUUGGGGGCAUUAGUAUUCAAUUGUCAGAGGUGAAAUUCUUGGAUUUAUUGAAGACUAACUACUGCGAAAGCAUUUGCCAAGGAUGUUUUCAUUAAUCAAGAACGAAAGUUAGGGGAUCGAAGACGAUCAGAUACCGUCGUAGUCU